rnacentral:tRNA from 1 species
GGGCGGAUAGCUCAGUCGGCUAGAGCGUCUGCCUUACAAGCAGAAUGUCGGGGGUUCGAGUCCCUCUCCGCCCACCA